AUGGGGAGGUUAAUGAGUGCCCAGGUUCUCUUCAUACUCCAUGGAAAGCAGUGCUGGGGACCAUCUCCCUUCCCUCCGUGCUGUGCUGACCGUUUAUUGAGCCCAUUUGGACCUCUGAGAAAUGAGUUAGCAGGGCCCUGUCCUGAGCCUGAGGGGAGGCAGAAGAGCAUGUGGAGGCACACAGUUCCCAGCUCUGAAGUUCCGAGAGGCUGCUCCACCUCCGAUGGCCCCAACUCUCAGAGAGGUUUCUCAACACCAGUGGUCGUACCCCUAUUCCCAUCUUCUAGCUGCUCGGGUCAAUCUUGUGCGUUCCAGAAGUGAACUGCUGCUUCAGGAAUCUUAAGGAGGCAGUGACCUUUCUAAUCUUUCACGUCAACAGAAAUUUCCUGAACAGUGUUCUGUGACAGGCAUGGUGCUAGGUGCUGUGGAAAUAAAGAUAAAUCCAACGGAACUUCUGCC
rnacentral:lncRNA from 1 species